rnacentral:rRNA from 1 species
GACUAACGCUGGCGGCGUGCUUAACACAUGCAAGUCGAACGGGCCUUGUCCCCUUUUUUUUUGGGGGUGGGGUUAGUGGCGAACGGGUGAGUAACACGUGAGUAACCUGCCCCUCACUUCUGGAUAACCGCUUGAAAGGGUGGCUAAUACGGGGUGUUCUGGCCUGCUCGCAUGGGUGGGUUUGGAAAGAUUCGACCGGUUUUGGUUGUUUUGGUGGGGGAUGGGCUCGCGGCCUAUCAGCUUGUUGGUGGGGUGAUGGCCUGCCAAGGCUUUGACGGGUAGCCGGCCUGAGAGGGUGGGCGGUCACACUGGGACUGAGACACGGCCCAGACUCCUACGGGAGGCAGCAGUGGGGAAUAUUGCACAAUGGGCGCAAGCCUGAUGCAGCGACGCCGCGUGAGGGAUGGAGGCCUUCGGGUUGUGAACCUCUUUCGCCAGUGAAGAAGGUCCUGCUCUUUGUGGUGGGGUUGACGGUAGCUGGGUUAAUGAAGCGCCGGCUAACUACGUG